GUUCUGGAAACAGGAAAAGGACCCAUCUUAUUCCAAAAGUGUUUGUACUUUUUUCUGGACUCCAAGUUGGAUGCCUUCACCAAAGUGGUUUCAAAGACUGGAACAAAAAAGCCUCCAUCGAGGCCCUGGCUAGCACAGUCCCUGUUACUUUAAGAGUAGCAUUCCACCUCCCCCUCACACCCACAUACUUGUCCUCUCUUUGCACAGCAAGUGCCAAGCAGUGACAUCUACUAUAGUUUCUAGGACACGAUGGUCUCUGCUCUACAGGGAAAAAGAGCGAGCGGGACAGAAAGAAGGCGGGUGGUGAGGGAGAAGGAGCACAAGCCCAGCUAUGUUCCCAGAGGAGGAGUCACUUCCUCGCAAUAAUCCUGAGAUGCUGUUUAUGGCUGUUCUGCUGAUAUGAAGCCUGGAGCCGCAGGAUGCAGCCUCCCCCUGGCUGUCCAUUAAUCACGAGGGGCUGUUACAGAGUGUACAGAGUGGGAGUUCUGCCUACAAGUGGCCUCUAACUGUCUCCAGCUCAAUGAAAUGAACCUGUGUGAAAACUUGUUUUAUGAGAGAUUGGUUUAUUUGUAACUAAACUACUUCCUCUGUUAUUUGAUAAGAUCAAAUAUUUGCUACUGAUAAUCUGAGAGUGUCACAUUUAUUAUCCUGUUUCAGCCGUUGCCUAACUCCUUUGGAACUGACUCCGUUAACUCUUUGAGGGACAGCAGUAGGUUUUAGAGGACCGGUUUCUAUUUUCUUUCAGCAAAGCCAAUGCUAUCUUUCAGACACUGAGUCAGCAUUAUUUUAGAACAGCUAUGACAUGUGAAUCAAAAAGAAGCCUUUCUCUUCCAAAACAGAAAGCAGACAACCAUAGUAACAGGAGGCUCUGAUAAAUUCCCUGGAGGUUCUGAAGCCACCAUGAAAAGGAAGGAAAGGUAUUCUGACUUACUAAUAUAAAAAUGGUUUUGCACGUGCUAGGAUUUCUGAAAUCACACAUUUUCAAUAUGUUCAGGAUGACUUUCUAUAGUUUGUUAGACCCUCAAAUAUCUAUGUGGGGCAUGAUCUCUAAAUCCGGCAGCAUUCUGCAUCUUGACACUUGGCCUUUUGGAGUCUGAGCUCAUUUGCAUUUGGCAGGACUUGAUUUCCUGCUUUGACAGAACGGCGGUAAGGUGGUGGUGAAAGCCUUUACAGUGCUCCCUCGAAGGGCUCAAAGGACUUUCUGGAUAUAUAAAAUUAUGUUUCCAAGAAUUAAAUGGACCAGAAUGAGGCAGAUUUUGUUUGAAACCAGGCUCUGUUACAUGCAACACAUCUGAAAA
rnacentral:lncRNA from 1 species